rnacentral:rRNA from 1 species
CGUGCUAAGGUAGCAUAAUCAUUAGCCUCUUAAUUAGAGGCUCGUAUGAACGGUGAAACAUUUCAAUUUCUUUUUUAAUUAAUUUUUUUUAAUUUAAAUUAAGAAUAAAAAUGUUCUUAUAAAUAAAAUAGACGAUAAGACCCUUUUGAACUUCACUCUAGUUUAGCUGGGGCAGCUAAAUAAAAAUAAUCUUAUUUUUUUUAAUUUAAAUAAAGACCCAAUAUAAUUGAUUUAAUGAACAAGUUACCAUAGGGAUAACAGCGUAAUAUCUUUCUAAAGCUCUUAUUGAAAAAGAAGAUUGCGACCUCGAUGUUGAAUUAGUGAAACUUUAAUGCAGUAAUUAUAAAAGUAGGUCUGUUCGACCUUUAAAACAUUACAUGAUUUGA